GCAAGACCAGCUCUGUCUAUCUACACAGCCCACUGAAACAUUUGUUUGAGUUCUGUGAAAACUAGAUGAACCAUUAAAACCACAGUUUCCAGAUUCAGGUUUUAUCCACAAAGUUCUCAUGUCACAGUUAGAUGUUUUGGUGGCAGACCGUCUGACGGUUUACUCACCUCCGUCCACCGUUGCGUCAGCUGGGCUCCCCUACCUGCUCUCUCCCCUCGGGCUUCCUCCACGGCGUCCUCCUGGCUCUCCCUCAUGCCUCGCCAGUCAGCUUCCCACCACACUACUCCCCCCCGGUCAGGUCUCCGGUCCCCGGUGCCCCUCAGCUCCCCUGUCUUAGCCCCCUCUGCCCUACGUGCUCCCCAUGCUCCUCGGUCCUCGGUGCUCGUGUUCCCCGGCAUCCACCUCUAUCUCACCUCCACUCCCUCAACCCCUCUAUCCCCAAUAAAACCUGUUUCAUCUGAG